UACGUAGGGUGCGAGCGUUAAUCGGAAUUACUGGGCGUAAAGCGUGCGCAGGCGGGCUUUUAAGCCAGACGUGAAAUCCCCGGGCUUAACCUGGGAAUUGCGUUUGGGACUGGAAGUCUGGAGUGCGGCAGAGGAGACUGGAAUUCCUGGUGUAGCAGUGAAAUGCGUAGAUAUCAGGAGGAACACCGAUGGCGAAGGCAGGUCUCUGGGCUGACACUGACGCUCAUGCACGAAAGCGUGGGGAGCAAACAGG
rnacentral:rRNA from 1 species